CAGGACAACUCCCAGAGAACCCGGGGAGUGGUCAGGGGGUCUGAGGUCGUAAAGAGGAAACAAGUUAGGCGUCAAGGGCUGCUGACGACCAUGACAUCUUUUCUGUGAUGGCAGAAUGGACACACUCUGCUGGUCCAAUUCAUGGUGGGCCCCGGCAUACUGGGAAUGACCUCCUCCUGCCCAUCUUGAACAUCUGCACAUGAAAGGGCUACAGGCAGAUCGGAUUUGGAAUAUCUGGACAGAAUGGAUUGUCCUGUGUGUUUUCAGCCCGGCAUUUCGGCCCUAAUGUUCCUGCUUCCUUUGGGUCACCGAGGUCACCUCAAAUAGGCCUUUAGGAGAAAGAUUACCAGCAAGGAGAUCGAGGUGUUUUGCCCCCCUCUCACUUAACCACUUCUAGAAAACAGCCAUUGUCAUAGCGAUGGUGUCCAGGUCCUCGCGCAUAUCCGGCAGAAACUCCAUGGCGUCCACCACCCUUCCCAUGGAGACUGCCAUGUACUCACAUAUCGGAGACACAGCAUCAGAAAGCACACGGACAUUCUCGUCAUUCUCCCGUGCCACUCUGUUGACGGAAUCUGAAUCCACAGAAUGAUGUUUCUUUGAGUCUUUCUGAAAAUCCCACAUAUUGUCCAUGACCACAUCCAGAGGCUCAUCAUCGGACUCGGCUUUAGCAGGUACCUGCUCUCCAGCAGCCCUUUGCGUACCAGAGAGCUUGGCCGUCCCUGCCUGCGCCUGCUGUGGACACGUAUGUGCGUAAUGAGCACAAGAGGGUGAGCCGGAGCCGGGUUCAAUGAUCCAUCCGUUUGUGUGAUUGUGCUGGGGGCGGCUGCAGGAGAAUAUUGGGGCUGCUUUGCUGUUUUGAAUUCAUCCUCCUCAUCUUCCUCCGAGGUGUCCUGGGAAUGGAGCUUUCUUCUGAUAACAACUGUGGGCUCUGUUCCUUCCUCCUGACACUUGGAAUGAAGAAAAGAUAGAUCAGGAGUGCCUGCACUGGCCCACACAUUGUACACUUUAAUCAUCUUGAUUGGCAUAACAUCUCACAAUAUUAUUUAUAUUUCAUUUAUGGGAUGUGUGAAUCGUUGGCCAGUCAAUAAUAUAUUGCCCAUCCCUCCUUGUCCUUUAAGAGGUGGAAGGAACUGUCUUGUACAACAAUCACUUAAAGCACACAAGCAGAUAGUGCAGGCAUAUCAGAAGGCACAUAGAAUGUUGUCCCUUAUUGAGAGAGGAGUUGGGUACAGGAGCAAGGAAGCCUUUCUGCAGCUGUACGGGGCCUUGGUCAGUCCACACCUGGAGUAAUGUGUGUAGUUUUGGUAUCCCUUUCUGAGAAUGUAUAUACAUGCCAUUAAGGGAGAGCAGCGAAAGUUUUGCAGGCUCAUUCCAAAGAUAAGUUGCCCAAUGAGGGCAAAUAGAGUGGAGUGGGCAUGAAUUUGCUUUAUUUUAGAAGCAGAAGAGGGGAUCUUGUUGAUAAAUGUAAAAUUCAGACAGGGAUGGACAGACUGAAUCCAGGGAUGAUGCUUCCUCUGGCUGGGGUUAAAGGGGUUGUGCGGGUGAUGUGUGCAUCAGAACAAAGUGUCAAAAUCUCAGAUAACAGCCCAGGCCAUUUAGCGCUUUGAUGAGGAGGAACCUGUUCAUUCAGAGCAUGGUGAACUCAUGCAAUUCUAUUCCACCGACGGCUUUUGAGACAAGUCAGUGAAUAUAUUUAAGAGGGAAAUAGAGAGAUUUCAAGACUUGUAAAGGCCUCAAUGGGUAUGGUGAGGGAGCGGGAAUAUUGCGUGUAGAAAGAGGAUCAGCCAUGACUGUAUUGGAUGGCACAGCAGGCUGGAAGGCUAAACUAAUUUACUGAUUCUCCAAUUUUCUAUGCUCCUAUAUUUCUGGUCUUAUGGUCUGCUGCACGAACAAAUGAAAAUUUGGCAGCACAAUAAGUGUGCAUAUUGCCUCAUUCCAUUGGGCCAACUACAGAUGACGUCAAAGCAAACCAUUGAUUAAUCACACUCCAAAUUCUUUGAAUCUUUAAAAAUGUUUCUCACUUUUUCGCAUCCUGAAAAGCAACAAGGUGAACGAAAGGCCCAAAUUAAACAUCAAUGUCUCGCAGACUGGGGCAACAGUCGAUUCCUUGAUCAAUAAAAUGCUCCAUUUGGCUAAA